UCUCGCCUGGCAUACGUCGCGGUCGCGUGGUUUCAAGGACAAGGCAAGGUUGACACGCGCCGCGACUCACGACUGCCAAGUGGGGGGUCUCUUAUGUUAGCCUUCUCCUUACCCUGGCCGCGUCUCUUCUUGAGUCUCUCGGGUAGAGAGAGAGUCGCGCACCACGUGUGACAGCUUCACCUUCGCUUUUGAUUGAAUAUUAUAUACAUAUAUAUAUAUGCGUAUGUGAGGUUAGGUAUAUCCCAUCCGAUUGGAUACAUUAGAAGACAGCUAGGAUUACUAAGCAUACAACGUAAAUUGAAGCGGAUGAUUAGAAUUUUUUGACUCCUCAUAACCGACCAAUCGUUAUCUGCCAAGUUUAAUGGAUUUUAAGGCGGCAUUUAAAUUGUUAAAUGAAAAUCUACCUAACCUUCUUAUACUAGAAUGAAUAUCGCUAACAGUCUAUUCUAUUGUACUGGAGAUAGUGGUGCCGGCUAAGAACCUGCUUUUCAAGACUUGGAUCUUUCUUUAGAUCGUUCUAUCCUCUGUGCUGGGAGUCUAUUUAGCUAUAUAUAUGUAUAUAGGUACUGUAGACUGUUAGGUAUGUAUGUACAACGUUCAUUGCCCGGAUGAUACGUACUACGUGCUUUUAUUUUAUUAGAUACAAAAGUUAACGCGGCAGGUGUUGCACGGGUCCCUUGUAUCGCGUUAGGUGCUGCCAGUGGUUCGAUACAUUUCACAAUAAUUACAGAGAAUUGUUGGCGCAAGUGGCGAGCUGAAACUAAAUGUUAACCAACGUCACGCCGUAUGUUUUCUCGAGGUUUGGGAAAAACCAUUGAAAUCAAUUUCUAAUGACCACUUUAUAUUUCGCGGCGAACUUAGUUUGUGGAGUUAUAGCGCUGUAGGAUAUGUACCUCCCACUGCCGUACAGUCCUGUCCAGCAAACGGCUAAUAUUGCUCCUUUUUGCCAAUUGCCGCUCGAACGAUACACUUCGGAUGGACAGGAGCAAGAGUCAUAAGCAGUCACAAUGUAGAGCUAAGAUCUGUCAAAGGCAAAAAGGGUUAUCAUGAAGAACUUUUACUAAAUUGACCAUCUUGAGGAACAGUAAAAACAAAAAAAAUGUGAAAAGAAAAAGGAUUUGCAAAUCAAGGAUUACCAUGUUCAUCCGAAAACUGUGUUUGAAGAAUAAAUCUAUUGAACUACUCAUAUAGUGACGUAUAAAAGCCUAACCGUGUAUUUUAGCAGAUAUUUAUAUAAAGAGUGAAUAACCGAUGGAUGUGUGCAAUGAGAUACGGGUGAGUAGUAUAUUCGUAUGUUAAUUAGGAAUCAUUGUAUCGUAAGGUAUAGGAGUAAGGUUCAAUAAACCUUGAGCGAGAUACGACAUUGUCAUCCUGCAUUGGGAAAAAUAAAGCAAAGAUGAAAGGCAGGUGCGACCUAUUUGCUGCGGUGGUUGUCCGGGACUAAACUAAAGUUGGGGCCUAUCUAGCGGUCCAUUACUCGAAAAUGUCUUAAGGGGUCAAGCAGCCGGAUAAUUUUAUAAAUCUUUUCUGCCUCUUCAUAUCAUAAGACGUGAGAGUAUUUUUUCUAUUAAAAAUUACAGCUUAGGUAGAUCGAGACAGAGAAAGAAGACUUUCCACAUUCAAGAGGUAUUACUCGGAUGGAUUUUGGAAAUACCACGAAGCGUGGGUAGGCGUCAGUGAUAAAGGGGAGUUGGCAAGUUCAAAGGUGAAAAAAGCGAUUGAUAAGAAGCGAAACAAAGAAGACUAAAAUAUGACAUUUUUAAGGUCACAAUUGACAUAGAAAUUGUACGGGCAUAAGGGGGCCAAUGGAAUGACCUACUUUUAUUUUAUUGAUGAAAGCUUUUAAUUUAAGUAGGCCAUUCCACUGGCCCCUUAUAUCCAUACAACUUUUGUCUCAAACAAUUUUUUAUAUAAGAUCUUGUUCUCAAGUUAUUUGACAAUCUCGAUUUAAAUGCUUCACCCUGUAUGAUAAUGAUAAGGACGGAAUAGGAUGUACAAAAAUAAACGUGUUUAACUUGGAUGAUAGAAAAA